GACGAACGCUGGCGGCGGGCCUAACACAUGCAAGUCGAACGAGUGGCGGACGGGUGAGUAAUGUCUGGGAAACUGCCUGAUGGAGGGGGAUAACUACUGGAAACGGUAGCUAAUACCGCAUACCAUCAGAUGUGCCCAGAUGGGAUUAGCUAGUUGGUGGGGUAAUGGCUCACCAAGGCGACGAUCCCUAGCUGGUCUGAGAGGAUGACGGGCCAAACGUGAGCUGAGACAAGGUCCAGACUCCUACGGUAGGGAGCAGUGGGGAAUAUUGCAGAGUGGGCGCAAGCCUGCGGCAGCCAUGCCGCGUGUAUUAGGAAGGCCUUCGGGUUUUAAAGUACUUUCGGCGUGGAGACGUUAGCCGUAUAAGAAGCACCGGCUACCUCCGUGCCAGCCGCCGCGGUAAUUC
rnacentral:rRNA from 1 species